UACGUAGGCAGCAAGCGUUGUUCGGAGUUACUGGGCGUAAAGAGUGUGUAGGCGGUGCUCCCAGUCUGUUGUGAAAUCUCCCGGCUUAACUGGGAGGGUGCAGCGGAAACUAGAGUGCUAGAGGGUGGGAGAGGUAAGCGGAAUUCCUGGUGUAGCGGUGAAAUGCGUAGAUAUCAGGAGGAACACCUGUGGUGUAGACAGCUUACUGGACCACUUCUGACGCUGAGACACGAAAGCGUGGGUAGCAAACAGG
rnacentral:rRNA from 1 species